GAAAAGGCCUUUUUCAAGGCCACCCACAAUUUGAUAUACGCUAUUU
rfam:Schistosoma mattheei strain Denwood, Zambia genome assembly, scaffold: SMTD_contig0020717